rnacentral:rRNA from 1 species
AUGAACGCUGGCGGCGUGCCUAAUACCUGCAAGUCGAGCGAACAGACGAGGAGCUUGCUCCUCUGACGUUAGCGGCGGACGGGUGAGUAACACGUGGAUAACCUACCUAUAAGACUGGGAUAACUUCGGGAAACCGGAGCUAAUACCGGAUAAUAUAUUGAACCGCAUGGUUCAAUAGUGAAAGACGGUUUUGCUGUCACUUAUAGAUGGAUCCGCGCCGCAUUAGCUAGUUGGUAAGGUAACGGCUUACCAAGGCAACGAUGCGUAGCCGACCUGAGAGGGUGAUCGGCCACACUGGAACUGAGACACGGUCCAGACUCCUACGGGAGGCAGCAGUAGGGAAUCUUCCGCAAUGGGCGAAGGCCUGACGGAGCAACGCCGCGUGAGUGAUGAAGGUCUUCGGAUCGUAAAACUCUGUUAUUAGGGAAGAACAAAUGUGUAAGUAACUAUGCACGUCUUGACGGUACCUAAUCAGAAAGCCACGGCUAACUACGUG